UCUCUGCCUUUUUCUGGCCCCUUCCCGUCAUUCUGCUUUGAGUCCUGGCUACCAGGAGGUGAGUGACUUGGCCACACACUGUAGGCACUGUGUACCUCAUCCUGGGCUCAUGGUGGAGGGAGCCAGCCAUGGACCGGUGAGCUAAAGUGACUCUCUCCUGUGAGGUUUUUCAUCAGAUUUCGGUCACAGCAACAAAAAGUCUCAUACAAAAUCUCAAAAUGUGACUUUUAUUGAGUUUUUCAUAAAUAAGCAUUUAUUCCUUGACUGACUGCUCAGACAACACUGGUGCACUGAUGGUCAAACCGUGUUCCUUCUGGACUUAGAGGCUAGUGUUUUUAUUUAACAGAUAUUUACAGACAUUUGUAAAAAGGUAGUUUUCAGGAGCAGACAAUCCCUCUGUCAUACAAUGGAAUUAACCUGUUCUGUGUCACAGGACAGAUCACAGAAUGGUAGCACCUAGCAGCACCCGAGCCACCAAGAGAAACAUUCAGCAAGGCUUCUGACGACAUCCAUUUUCCUUUGGCCUGAAAAAAAAAAAAAGAGCCACAUCUCCCCCAACCCCCAAAAAUCUAAUCACUAAGGCAAACGCUCAAAUAUAUAAUACUUAUCAAGCCUCAUAUCUGUUCCUCAUGGAGGGACUUAGUUCUCUCUUUUGUGGGUGCUUGUGUUUUUCCUAUAAAGAUUAGUAACCAUAUUUGAACCUGUUUAUCCUAACUGUGCCUUCAAUGGUUCAGCACUUGAGGCUGGCGAGAUUUGCUUUAUAAACUGCCCAUCUGCAGGAUGGCUUUACAUACCUAAGCUUACUUCAGUCUAACUGUACAGAGAGCAAGCGCCUCACGAGCCUCGGAUGUAAGUUUACAUACCCUCUUCUCUAGCCUUUCAAAUGGGGCUUGAAGGCACCAAAUCACUGCUGCAAUGAAUGACAAUAAAGCAGAUUUACUACCCACAGGGAAAAUGAAGCUCUCACCGGGAAUCAGGGAGCCGUCACCUUCCAGGUUCCCCUGGAUUGGACCAAUAUAAAAAAUACCCCAAAGACAGGAGGAUUCAAACCGUUACCCUGAAAGAACUAAGUCAGCCCUUUGAACUUAUAAUUUAAGUUUACAAAAUUUUAAUCCCCUCAGAACAAAACAGUCUUCUGGUGACUAUCAAAAGUCCUGGCGGAGUUUAGUGUUUUAACCUCACCCCUGAGCUGCUGCCUACACACGAAGUCUUAGUUCUGUAAGCAGAGCUUUGCACAGCAUCUAAUACAGGAUGCACACGACCCUAGGAGUGCUGCUUUAUAAUUCAUAUUUCAACAGC
rnacentral:lncRNA from 1 species